UACGGAGGGUGCAAGCGUUAUCCGGAUUCACUGGGUUUAAAGGGUGCGUAGGUGGGCAGUUAAGUCAGUGGUGAAAUCUCCGGGCUCAACCCGGAAACUGCCAUUGAUACUAUCUGUCUUGAAUAUUGUGGAGGUAAGCGGAAUAUGUCAUGUAGCGGUGAAAUGCUUAGAUAUGACAUAGAACACCUAUUGCGAAGGCAGCUUACUACGCAUAUAUUGACGCUGAGGCACGAAAGCGUGGGGAUCAAACAGG
rnacentral:rRNA from 1 species